rnacentral:rRNA from 1 species
UCUACGGAGAGUUUGAUCCUGGCUCAGGACGAACGCUGGCGGCGUGCUUAACACAUGCAAGUCGAGCGAGGCCCAUUCUUCGGGGUGGUGCCCUAGCGGCGAACGGGUGAGUAA